GACUCCAGUUGGGCUUCCACGUUCUCACCAGCUAACUUCAUUUCUCCCUUCUCAGCUUUAAUUCCCAAUUUUUUCUCAGCAAUCCCUAGCUCUUUCCCCAAUUCCCCUCUACAAACCCUAAUUCCUCUUCCACGUUCCCAUCAUGUAACUUCAUUUCCCCUUUUUUUUAUUAUUUCAAUUCCCAAUUUCUCCUCAGUAAUCCCUAGCUCUUUCCCCACUUCCCCUUCUACAAAACCUAGUUCCUCCUCCUAGGUCGUUACGAUACCCACUUCUACAGUAGAUGCUUGUCCCCAGGGAUCGAAAUUAGGAAAUUGUGAUUUCAGAACCGAAAAGUCUUCCUAGGAUACACUCGGAUUUGUCCAUCAGCAUUCACUUCCGAAGGAUCCUUGGAGGGACCAUAAUACCUUGCUGAGAGUUUAAGGUUCUUUCUCAGAGCAACUGAAGUCUGUCUAUAAGGUUGCAAUUUAAGAUUGACAAGGCAUAUCCUCGUGAUUUCAUGC